UGAAUACGAGACACUAAGGUGUCGAAGUGGAUGAUGUCACACUUCCAAGAAAAUUUCACAGAAUUUUAUAUAGCAAAGUACCUGUACUGUAAACCGACACAGGUAGGUUGGUAGAGUAUACCAAGGGGCGCGAGAUAACUCUCUCUAAGGAACUCGGCAAAAUAACCUCGUAACUUCGGGAGAAGAGGUGCCCUUGUAAGAGGGUUUCAAUAACCAGACCCUGGCGACUGUUUACCAAAAACACAGGUCUCCGCCAAUUCGUAAGAUUAAGUAUGGAGGCUGACGCCUGCCCAGUGCCGGAAGGUUAAAGAAGUUGGUCAAUUCUUGAAUGCAGCUAGCGACUGAAGCCUCGGUGAACGGCGGCCGUAACAAUAACGGUCCUAAGGUAGCGAAGUUCCUUGUCGGGUAAGUUCCGACCCGCACGAAAGGCGUAACGAUCAGGGUGCUGUCUCGGAGAGAGGCUCGGCGAAAUAGACAUGUCUGUGAAGAUGCGGACUACCUGCACCUGGACAGAAAGACCCUAUGAAGCUUCUACUGUAUCCUGGAAUUGAGUUUGGGUUUUGCUUGCGCAGCAUAGGUGGGAGGCAUUGAAAGUGUCCUUGCGGGGUCACUCGAGCCAACGGUGAGAUACCACUCUAGUAAAGCUAAAACUCUAACCGUUAUCCGUCAUCCGGUUACGGAACCGUUUCAGGUGGGCAGUUUGACUGGGGCGGUCGCCUCCUAAAAAGUAACGGAGGCGUGCAAGGUUCCCUCAGGCUGGUUGGUUAUCAGUCAUAGAGUAUAAAGGCAUAAGGGAGCUUGACUGCGAGACUUACAAGUCAAGCAGAGACGAAAGUCGGCCUUAGUGAUCCGACGGUUCUGUGUGGAAAGGCCGUCGCUCAACGGAUAAAAGUUACUCUAAGGAUAACAGGCUGAUCUCCCCCAAGAGUCCACAUCGACGGGGAGGUUUGGCACCUCGAUGUCGGCUCAUCGCAUCCUGGGGCGGUAGUACGUCCCAAGGGUUGGGCUGUUCGCCCAUGAAAGCGGUACGCGAGCUGGGUUCAGAACGUCGUGAGACAGUUCGGUCCAUAUCCGGUGCAGGCGUUAGAGCAUUGAAAGGAGUCCUCCUUAGUACGAGAGGACCGGGAGGAAUACACCUCUGGUGUGCCAGUUGUUGUGCCAACAGUAAACGCUGGGUAGCCAUGUGUAGCGUGGAUAACUGCUGAAAGCAUCUAAGUAGGAAGCCCACCUUAAGAUGAGUGCUCUCACCGUUAUAAAACGGGUAAGAUCACGGUAAGACUAACCGUUACAUAGGCACUAAGUGUACGCACAGUAAUGUGUUUAGCUGAGGUGUACUAAUAGAUCGAGGGC
rnacentral:rRNA from 1 species